UACGUAGGGUGCGAGCGUUGUCCGGAAUUAUUGGGCGUAAAGAGCUUGCUAGGCGGUUUGUCGCGUCUGCUGUGGAAAUCUCAAGGCUCAACCUUGAGCUUGCAGUGGGUACGGGCAGACUAGAGUGUGGUAGGGGAGACUGGAAUUCCUGGUGUAGCGGUGAAAUGCGCAGAUAUCAGGAGGAACGACCGAUGGCGAAGGCAGGUCUCUGGGCCAC
rnacentral:rRNA from 1 species